UGCCGUUCUUCUUGAGCAGUCGCACCACGGAUGCCGGGUCCGGCAAGUCUGUCGCCACCCUCCCGUAGCAGACGCCCACCUCGCCACCCUCCGCAGCAUGGGAGAAGAAGAGCAGCGGCAAUGCUGCGCCGAGGACGACAACAAGGAGGUGAACCAUCAUCGGUACCUAGUGUGGAGUGGAGUGGGCUAGCCAGGGCCUAAUGGAGACCAGGAUCAAUCUCGAGCUGAUGAGUUGAGAAUGAACUCGGUAGGGGGUUUGGAAUUUAUAGCCGGGCAGGCACCAAUGCUACUACUAACAUGCAUGAUGCAUGGAGGUAGAUAUUGCUACAUUUCUCUUUGGGCAAGACGAUCGAUGUGGCAACCAAAACUGGGACAGCUACCGAUAACAGCGUAGCAUGCACAGUAAUGCUAGAGGGCUCUCUACAGAAGAUUUACAGGCUCGUUAGUUAUGAUUGGUUGAAACUUGAUUAAAGAGGACGGUCCUGUUGGGACAUAAGCCGCGGCGAGGCGUCGAACGAGCCGGGCGCGUGUAUGGGCACGUGCGGUGCCCGGCACGCUAGACGCGUCGGGUCCGCGACGUUAGGUGUGCGUGCGUGCGUGUAGGAGCUGCAUGGGCAUGUCCGUGCGGGUGUAGCCUAUGCGUUGUGUUCGUUGGCGCAAAGGGCGCGGGGUAGACCGCGUCGGGGCGCUGGACCCGGUCGCGCGGAUCGCGUGCGGGCGCGGCGGGAGCUCGGGCCGGGAGCGCAGGGACGUGGGCGAGUGUGCGACGAGGGCCCGUCGUGGGCGCAACGUAAGGCGCUGGUGGAUGCGUGUAUAAACUUCUUGUACCCCGUGUGUUGUACUGGCGAGGAGGACAGCUGAGUUCGAGCUCAGGUGAAAUAUAUAGAGCGCGCUGUUCGCGGUGGCGGAGGUGUUCGAGCGCCGAGAAAUUCAUUGUGUCCAUCCCUCCCUCUCUGCACCUUGUCUCCGGCGAUCACCGGGGCGGGGUGGUUCCAUUUUCCAUCUAACAUUUGGUAUCAGAGCCUCGUGUGAUCAGGGAGCUCGAUGGCCAUGGCGCUGGUCCCGUACUCCGGCGGGUCUGGGACGACGAUGGUGACGUCGGUCCCGAUGCUUACGGGGGCAAACUACACCACCUGGGCCAUCAAGGUGGAGGCUGAUCUCGACGCCGCCGGGCUCUGGGAGGCGGUCGUGCCGCCGGAGGAAGCUACGUCAGCGGUGAUCGCGAAGAAGGACAAACCUGCGCGCGCGUAUCUAAUGCGGGCACUCGCCGACGAUCUGCUGCUGCAGGUCGCGUCGAAGAAGACGGCGGCAGAGAUUUGGGCGAGCUUGCGGACUAGGUUCGUGGGUGCGGUCCGCGUACGUGCGGCGAGGCUCGGGACGCUACUGGGGGAGUUCGAGCUCCUGCGCAUGGCGGAGGCCGAAACCCUAGACGCGUUCGCCGGAAGGCUUGAAGGCAUGGCGGUACUGUACGCGGCGUUGGGCUCAACCCUGGAGGACUCCGCGCUCGUCAAGAAGCUGCUCGACUCGGUGCCGGACCGCCUGUACGCGGCGGUGGCCGGAAUCGAGCAGUUCUGCGACGUGAGCACCAUGCUCUUCGAGGAUGCUCUCGGCCGGCUGAAGGCUUUCGAUGAGAGGCUGCAGCGUCGGGGACAGACGGGCGGCGAGCGGGAGGACGGCCAGUUGAUGCUCACCGCGGAACAGUGGCGUGCGCGGGAGCGACGGCGAAGUGGUAGGCGAGACGACGACGACGACGGCAACAGCGUGGCGUCCAACGUCAGGAAGAACCGCCGCGGUCGCUGCUACCACUGCGAUGAGCGGGGACACUUCAAGAGGGACUACCCUCAUCGGAGGAAGGGGCCAGGGGCGGAGGAACAUGCAUUGCUCGGAGAAGAAGAGCAGCGGCAAUGCUGCGCCGAGGAGGACAACAAGGAGGUGAACCAUCAUCGGUACCUAGUGUGGAGUGGAGUGGGUUAGCCAGGGCCUAAUGGAG
rnacentral:lncRNA from 1 species